UUGGUUCUCUGAGGGGGAGGGGAGGAGCUGCAUUCCCCAGGGGUCUUUGCGCCUGGAAGGGUGGGUGAAGCCUGCUGGGAGACCUAGAGUGCUUUUCUUGGUUUGCUGAGAAGUACGUCGACCCUUGCAGCUUACAGAGUGUUCAAGGCUCCAGAAUCUCUCUCCUUGUUGAACUGGAAUUCCCACUGAAACUUCUACAGAAGGAAAUCAUGCUUUACAUCUCUUUCUACAAACAGUAGUAGCCAAGCACUAGCCAAGUAGUAUUCUGCUUACGGAGUUGUUUGCAGAGCAAUAGUAAAUUAAAUAACGUUUAUAUAAGCAGCCUAUUAAUGUAUUAUCAGAUCCUACUAGGUUGUUAGUGUGAACAGGCCUAAGUUCACCCCAAGUGACUUUGUGCGUUUACCUUAGAUGUCAUGUUAGCAUUUGAUCAUUAGCUUCCAGUGUAGCUGGAGAGAACUAGAAAUCUCAAAUAGACCAGUGUUCUCCAGGAGAUGCUUGAACAUUGCACUGAAAAUAGUAUCACAAGAUUUUUAAUGUAGGCGUUUGGGAAAGUGUAUUAUUAGCCUGGAUAAAUCUAAGCCUCUGUGUCCCUAACUGCUUAGAAGGCAGCAAAGUAGAGAAUUGCUGUUUGAUGCUACCUCGAUUCCUUAAAUAUUUUCCUAGUAUUUACUGCAGCUUCAUCCUGUGGCCAUACUACAUGAAUGGCCCACCACUCAACUCUGUCAAAGGGAGGAGGCACAUACUGUCCUUUCAGUAUUUUAAGUCAGUUCACUUAGUCUUUCUGAGAUAGAGAGGUAUUAAGAAGAAGCAAGAGUAAGAAGAAAGAUGGAGGAAGAGUGGGAUCAAGACAGGCAAGAUCACAUCCACAGGCAUCAUGAUAAGACUUCAGAAAAAAAUAUUUUUGGCUGAUAAACCUGAGACAGCUAACCUUUGGCAGUGGAAAUAUGCAACAAAAUCCUUUCAGUUUUAUGCUUCUCUAAUCACUAGAGCAAUUUCUGCACUUCCAAAUCCUCAAUAAACAAUAGUAGAUACCUAUCAAAAGCAUUGUUUUUCAGAAUUAGUUAUUUCACAAAAAUAUUAUUACUGUUUAUCUCUUUCAUCCAUAUUCUGACUAUGACACCUACAGGCCAGAGGAGAACUGUGCAAAAGUGAAGACAAUUUUAGGCAAAAAAAAGAAUAAUCUUUUCUCACGCGCUCCAUCACAAGGAAGGAUGUUUAUGAUGAGACACACCACUCACAUUACUGAGCUAACAUUACUGAAUUUGUGUGGUUCAUUUGUGGUUUGUUUUUGUUCAGAACAGGAGCAAACAAUUAGUUUCCUAGAGAUCUCUAAAGAUAGCUUUAAAGGCAUAGCUGUAUAUUAGUGAGAAAGAACUUUAUAAAAUGGUUGUGUAAUUCCCAAAAAAUCUACUCACUCUGUAUGUCUGCAUUGUUCCACACAAAAAUAGACAGAUAUUAAAAUAGAGUGCUUUUUCAUCAAUGGUUAUUGAAAAAUUACUGUGAAAACAAUCGUGACAGUUUUUAAUCUUCCUCAGAUUGAAAGGGGUCAGGAAAAAAAACAAUGUUCGCAACAAGGCAAGGGAUGCUGUAAUUUCUGUUUGCCACCGGGCACCAUGAAAACAAUGAAUCUGAGUUGUCAUGGUCUUGUGAGACAUGGUGCCCAAUCCAGCUGUGAUUAUCACUUCAGUUGUGACUCUAUGAAAUGAAAAAAUGUUCAGAAUGUGAAGACCAGGUAUAUUUUCUGAGAACUAUCUAUCACCCACUCUUAUUUCCUGUAAGCUCCUUAAGCAUGUGCUACGUUACUGGGGUCACUUCUUAGAUAAUAACCUGAAUAGAAAAAUUAACUUUAUUUAACACCAAGCAGUAUCUGCUUUUCAGCUCUUAAUGCACAGCAUAGGUGUACUACAGUAUUAGUCAUCAGAGCUUUCGGACACCAAGAUUUUGUUCUUUUGUUGUGCAUGGCAAAAUAUCUGGUGUCUGUUUUAGGGGGUUUCCAAAUCUCCCAGCCAUUGCUUGCUUUGUCCUCUCAUCUUCCUCUGAAAAAAAUGGCUUGUGGUUGUUCUUCAUAGGUACUCCUGAGUACUUCCCAAUGGAAAAAAUCAUAUCCUGGAUGAGGAGAGUUAAAGAGCCAGAUUUAACUGUUAUUGGAUAUCUUUCAACUCCAUCUCCUCUAGUCACUCUGGAUUUAUGUCAGUUUAACUGAAAAUAAUUUUCCUCUCAAAGUCUAUAUCAAGCAAUUGAUGCCACUGUCUCCUAUUCUCCAUUGUUAAAUAAAAGUGCUGUGAUGCAACUAAUUCUUGUUUGUAUU